GUGAGUCAUCGAAUCUUUGAACGCACAUUGCACCUUUUGGUAUUCCGAAAGGUAUGCUUGUUCGAGCGUCGUUUAAACAAUAUCAAUUUAAUUAUUGAAUGUAUUGAGUGUUUUUAUUCUCUAAAUUUUAUUAUUAAGAGACACUCCGAAACGAUUGAGCGAUCUUGACUAGAUUUAAUUGACGCAUUAAAAUUUAAUUAUUAUCGUCAAUAGAAGAAGUUAAAUUGAUCUGCCAGAUUUUAAAAACUUGCAAUUUAAGAAUGGUUUUAUUAUUAUUCUAAAUUCAACCCCCAAAUUUUA
rnacentral:misc_RNA from 1 species